rnacentral:rRNA from 1 species
UGGAAAGCCCGGUGCAAGCGAAGGAGUCGCAGGGUUGGAAAAUCCGCCCUGCAUAAGACGAAGGCGUGAUGCGGAGCGAAAUGAAGUAGUGAAGCUGCGGCCCCUUCCUGUCGAGAAAAGCCGCUAUCGUGUAGCAAGGGCCCGUACCGUAAACCGACACAGGUGGAUGAGGAGAGGAUCCUAAGGCCGGCGGGAGAAGUGUUGUUAAGGAACUCGGCAAAAUGACUCCGUAACUUCGGGAGAAGGAGUGCUGCGCAAGCAGCCGCAGAGAAAUGGUCCAAGCAACUGUUUAGCAAAAACACAGGUCUAUGCGAAACCGAAAGGUGAGGUAUAUGGGCUGACGCCUGCCCGGUGCUGGAAGGUUAAGGGGGAGCUUAGCGCGAGCGAAGGUUUGAACUUAAGCCCCAGUAAACGGCGGCCGUAACUAUAACGGUCCUAAGGUAGCGAAAUUCCUUGUCGGGUAAGUUCCGACCCGCACGAAAGGCGUAAUGAUUUGGGCACUGUCUCAACAACACACCCGGUGAAAUUGAAAUACCAGUGAAGAUGCUGGUUACCCGCGCCAGGACGGAAAGACCCCAUGGAGCUUUACUCCAGCCUGAUACUGGGAUUCGGUAUUGCAUGUACAGGAUAGGUGGGAGGCUAAGAACUCAUGGCGCCAGCCGUGAGGGAGCCGAUGUUGGGAUACCACCCCUGCAGUACUGGGUUUCUAACCUGCGCCCGUGACCCGGGCGGGGGACAAUGUCAGGCGGGGAGUUUGACUGGGGCGGUCGCCUCCGAAAGGGUAUCGGAGGCGCUCAAAGGUCUCCUCAGGAUGGUUGGAAACCAUCCAGAGAGUGCAAAGGCAGAAGGAGGCUUGACUGCGACACCGACGGGUGGAGCAGGUACGAAAGUAGGACUUAGUGAUCCGGUGGCAUAAAGUGGGAUUGCCAUCGCUCAACGGAUAAAAGCUACCCUGGGAUAACAGGCUUAUCACUCCCAAGAGUUCACAUCGACGGAGUGGUUUGGCACCUCGAUGUCGGCUCAUCGCAUCCUGGAGCUGGAGCAGGUUCCAAGGGUUGGGCUGUUCGCCCAUUAAAGCGGUACGCGAGCUGGGUUCAGAACGUCGUGAGACAGUUCGGUCCCUAUCCGGCGCGGGCGCAGGAUAUCUGAGAGGAGCUGUCCUUAGUACGAGAGGACCGGGAUGGACCGUCCGCUGGUGGACCGGUUGUCAUGCCAAUGGCACGGCCGGGUAGCCAAGACGGGAGGGGAUAAACGCUGAAGGCAUCUAAGCGUGAAGCCCCCCUCAAGAUGAGAUAUCCAUACUCGAAAGAGUGAGAGACCCCUUAAAGACGAUGAGGUAGAUAGGGCAGGGAUGGAAGUGCAGCGAUGCAUGGAGUUGACUGUUACUAAUCGGUCGAAAGCUUG